CGUGUCGUGAGAUGUGGUUAGUCCGCAACGAGCGCGAACCCCACGUUUAGUUGCUAACGCGUGAAGGCGAGCACUCUAGACGAACUGCCGUUGACAAACGGAGGAAGUGGGGAUGACGUCAAAUCAUCAUGCCCCUUAUGUUCUGGGCUACACACGUGCUACAAUGGCCGGUACAGACGGACGCAAAGCCGCGAGGUGGAGCAAAUCCUAAAAAGCCGGUCUCAGUUCGGAUUGCAGGCUGCAAUUCGCCUGCAUGAAGUCGGAAUCGCUAGUAAUCGCAGGUCAGCAUACUGCGGUGAAUACGUUCCCGGGCCUU
rnacentral:rRNA from 1 species